CCUACGGGUGGCAGCAGUGGGGAAUAUUGCACAAUGGGGGGAACCCUGAUGCAGCAACGCCGCGUGGGUGAAGGAGUACUUCGGUAUGUAAAGCCCUGUCAGCAGGGAAGAAAAUGACGGUAACUGACCAAGAAGCCCCGGCUAACUAAGUGCCAGCAGCCGCGGUAAUACGUAGGGGGCAGGCGUUAUCCGGAUUUCCUGGGUGUAAAGGGAGCGUAGACGGCAAGGCAAGUCUGGAGUGAAAGCCCGGGGCUCAACCACGGGACUGCUUUGGAAACUGUGUUGCUGGAGUGCAGGAGAGGUAAGCGGAAUUCCUAGUGUAGCGGUGAAAUGCGUAGAUAUUAGGAGGAACACCGGGGGCGAAGGCGGCUUACUGGACUGUAACUGACGUUGAGGCUCGAAGGCGUGGGGAGCAAACAGGAUUAGAUACCCGUGUAGUC
rnacentral:rRNA from 1 species